UGCCUUUAUGUGUUGCCCUUUCAUUGCUUCGUUAGUGAUUGGGGUGUCAAGUAAGGCAUACAGUGACGGUUGUGGCCGUUUGUGACAUGAGCUUCAAGUGACUCUUCUACACAAACGGCUGCAACGACACAC
ensembl:snoRNA small nucleolar RNA SNORA13